GGCAAAUGGUCUUGGACUCUUAGUAUUGCAUUUGAGUUUAAUUCCUGUAAUAUUUUUUAAUAAUCUCUUUUGAGAAAGUAAUUUUGAAUUCAAAUUAAUCCUUUCUUUCUUCAUUCAAAGCAAAUGCAGUGUCUUUUGGGAAGAGGCUUAUACUGACAUACAGUUAAAUGGAACCCAUGUUAGUUUUCAUAUCUGGCUAUACUAUGACAUGGAACAUUUUCUUACAAGUUCAUUAAGUGCUUAAGGAAGCUGAAUAUUAAUGUUCUAUUAUUUGUAUUACAUUUUCAAAACUGAAAAAUG
rnacentral:misc_RNA from 1 species